UGCUCCGAGUUUGGGAUGUUCCACACUCUGGCUUUCUCCGUCGUAUAUUUACGCGCGAGAUCCUCUGGCGUCCCCGGGGGCCGUGUGUCACGCCUUCGCCGGUAAAGGGGAUGUCGGACAGGCCUGGCUUCUAAUUACAAAACUGGUUGGGAUUAAAACUUGCGGACCUACAAAACCAGAGAAAACCAGAAGAAAAAUAAUUGCCUCCACUUCUGGGUAUAAAAAUGGCCGCGACAACGUCACCACCGGCCAUCCCCAAUGACAUCACUUCCGGCUCACCUCGAUGGCGUUACUUCCGAUUCCUGCUCCUAACGUCAAUUCACGCCAACCAUUUCCUGUUCCCAUAAUCCUUUUUGUAUAA